rnacentral:rRNA from 1 species
UACGGAGGGUGCGAGCGUUGUCCGGAUUCACUGGGUGUAAAGGGUCCGCAGGCGGGUUGGUUAGUCGUUGGUGAAAGUCCAGAGCUUAACCCUGGAACUGCAGACGAUACUGCCGAUCUUGAGUACGGAAGAGGAAGAUGGAAUUCCUGGUGUAGCGGUGAAAUGCGUAGAUAUCAGGAAGAACACCGGUGGCGAAGGCGGUCUUCUGGUCCGUUACUGACGAUCAGGGACGAAAGCGUGGGGAGCAAACAGG